CCUACGGGUGGCAGCAGUGAGGAAUAUUGGUCCAUGGGCGUAAGCCUGAACCAGCCAAGUCGCGUGAGGGAUGAAGGUUCUAUGGAUCGUAAACCUCUUUUAUAAGGGAAUAAAGUGUGGGACGUGUCCUAUUUUGUAUGUACCUUAUGAAUAAGGAUCGGCUAACUCCGUGCCAGCAGCCGCGGUAAUACGGAGGAUCCGAGCGUUAUCCGGAUUUAUUGGGUUUAAAGGGUGCGUAGGCGGCCUUUUAAGUCAGCGGUGAAAGUCUGUGGCUCAACCAUAGAAUUGCCGUUGAAACUGGGGGGCUUGAGUAUGUUUGAGGCAGGCGGAAUGCGUGGUGUAGCGGUGAAAUGCAUAGAUAUCACGCAGAACCCCGAUUGCGAAGGCAGCCUUCCGGCGCCCUACUGACGCUGAGGCACGAAAGUGCGGGGAUCGAACAGGAUUAGAUACCCGAGUAGUC
rnacentral:rRNA from 1 species